GACGAACGCUGGCGGUGUGCCUUAGGCAUGCAAGUCGAACGGUUCCGAGUCGCAAGAUUCGGGAUAGUGGCAGACGGGUGAGUAUAAGGUAGGAAUCUACCUCUUGGUGGGGAAUAAUCCGGCGAAAGCUGGACUAAUACCGCAUAACUUUGCAAGAAAAAAGAGCUUAACUGCUCGCCGAGAGAUGAGCCUGCCCGCUAUCAGCUUGUUGGUAAGGUAAUGGCUUACCAAGGCUAUGACGGCUAGGGGGCGUGAGAGCGUGGCCCCCCACAAGAACACUGAGACACGGGUUCUACACCUACGGGUGGCAGCAACCGGGAAUUUUGCGCAAUGGACGAAAGUCUGACGCAGCAACACCGCGUGCGGGAUGAAGGCCUUCGGGUCGUAAACCGCUGUGGAAGGAGAGCAAGCUCUGAGAGUAUCCUUCUAGAAAGCACCUGCUAACUACGUGCCAGAAGCCUCGGUAAUACGUAGGGUGCAAGCGUUGUCCGGAAUUAUUGGGCGUAAAGAGUAUCGUAGGCGGCCAGUUAAGUGGCGGGUUAAAGCCUGGAGCUCAACUCCAGAGAUGCUCGUCAAACUAAUUGGCUAGAGGAAGUUCGGGAGUGCUGGAAUUCUCGGUGGAGGUGUGAAAUCCGUUGAUAUCGAGAAGAACACCAAAGGCGAAA
rnacentral:rRNA from 1 species